CAAACGUACAAGAGCGAGACAGCAAGCAAGCCAUAACCCUGAAAAUUUCACCGCUCUUCCCAGUGCGUCAAGUGACUAAGGAUAAAAAAAUAUAACAAAAAAUAUUUUAGAACAGCCAGUUGAAAAUUGAAGGUUAGAGAAAGAGGAUAAUUUUAUUUUUAAUGAGAAUAAGAAUACUCAAUAGUUAUACCAUUUUUUACAAGAAGCGGCCUUGAAAGGUUAUGAGAAUAUAUUAUAAUCAUGGAACUUGAACGAAUAAACAAUGGAAUGAAAAGUUUAUGAACGAAUCUUGAGAUUAUGACUUGAAACACAGGAUUAAAUAAUUAAACAAGACAUCGUUAAAAAAAAAAUGUGAAAGUAUAAACAAAGUUUAUAUGUCAGGAGAUUACCAAUUGACGAAACAGCUGAAUUUAGAGAAUUAUUUUCGCACGAGUAUCUUUAUUCUGAUUACUUUUUUUAAACCAGAAUGUCAGAGAAACAUCAAAAUCACGAGAUUUCUUGGAUUUUUUCUGGUAACGUAUCGUUUGUAUAUUAGCUUGUUUUUUAUUAUAUAUUUAAAUAUAUACAAAUUUGUCUUGAAGCAUAGUUGGGACACCUUUUGGGAAACUAAAAGUGCAUUUAGAUCAAAAUCGCAAUGAUUGACGUACAAUGCUGUCCUAAACAAUACUCUGCAUAAGUAUUGACAUCUUAUAAGACUUCACUUAGUCCUAUUGCAUGAUAAUUUAGUGAAUAAUAAUUGAAUAUUACAUUACUGUUACCUUCUGCAAUUACUUUUGCAAUGAAAUUGUUUACUGAACACCUUUUAGGAAACUAAAAGUGCGUUGUAAUAAACAUUUCAGUGAUUCGCCUGACAUCGCCGUUCGUAACAAUUUUGUAAUUGCCAGAUCAACGAAUAAACAGAUGGUUUAUUUUUUGCGAUAAUGUUUUUUAAAUUUUUUUUUUUUUAUCAUUGUCAUACUAGACUAACGACAAAGUAUUUACAUAUUUGUAAUUACGAACUAAGAUAUUUAAAAAAUGUUAUAAAAUAUCGUUUCGCUUUAGCCGAAAUUCGUUAGGAUAAUUCCAACGACCGUCUACCAUUUUUUUAGGUAAAUUUAUUGUACAUAUCAGUAAAAUCAAAAAAUUUACUCUGUGUUUGGAUGUAACAAUGAGUAUAUUAUUAUCUAAAUAAAAUCAAUUGAAAAUGUCCAAAAUUCGACUAACGAAAUGAAUUUUGCAAAUUAAAUGGCAUCAAUUAUCCAUUACGACAAGUUAUUAGCAAUGAUAUUCUCAUUAUGGAACUUUCGAUUUACUAGUAAAUUUUUUAUAUCAGAUCAAUCAGUUUAUAAUUACUAACUUAUUUAUGGACUGACCGUUUAUAAUUUUAUAUCUAAUAUUGUGGCUUUAGCAUGUUAGAGUUAAGAAAUUCGAUUUCUCAAUGCGAAUUGAGUAAAAUCGAAGAUAUUACCAGUUUGGUAUUUAUUACCAAUCUCAAUACACGAAAUUUGAAAACUUAUAGAUGGCGCUUACUGUUUUUUUUAUCUACAUCGGUAGAACAGUUUAUGUUUGAAAAUUCUAACUCUCAUCACUAGAUGGUGCUCACUACUAUCAGUAAGGGACUGUUUUAUCGACCCGAACCCAUAUAACAUCUUCUUAAAGAUGAUUAAAGUUACCAUCUAAGACAAGUAGACUUUAAACAUCAGCGCCCCUGUUUAAAACGUAAAUAUACGUUAUUUUCUUUUUCACUCUACGCUGGUUUUCAAAAGUGGAAACAUAAACAUUGAAAUUAAUGAUGUUCUUGUCAGCAUUGGAUGUCAUGAACCCUUACCAUACAAAAUAGACGACCUUGUUCAAGACAUUCAAUGGACAAGUUUUCAGAAUGAUAGAAUAACAAUUAAUUCAAUUAUAAUGAAACCGUCUGACGAACCAUCAUUUUACCAAGUUAAAAAAAUACUAAAUGUCAACAAUGGCCAAAUUUUAUUCAUUACCCAGUAUUUGGAUGAUUGUUAUUUCGAUGAACACACUCAAUCAUUCAAAGUUAUUAACAGAAGCUCUCUCGCUUGGAAAUUUUUAUUUUAUGCUGAUAUUGAAGACUGUACAGUAACUUAUUUCAAUAUUUUAGACAAUCAAGUGUACAUAUCUAAAUUAUGGAUUUAAAUAAUUGUAAAAAAUAAAUAAUUGUCAUUUUUUUGUAAAAAUUUUAUAAAUAAAAUUUAA